AUAGAGUCAAGUGAAUAAGUGCAUCAGGUGGAUGCCUUGGCGAUGAUAGGCGAAGAAGGACGUGUAAGCCUGCGAAAAGCGUGGGGGAGCUGGCAAUAGAGCUGUGAUCCCGCGAUAUCCGAAUGGGGAAACCCACCAUGUAUAAGCAUGGUAUCCUGUACUGAAUACAUAGGUACAGAGAAGCGAACCUGGAGAACUGAACCAUCUAAGUACCCAGAGGAAAAGAAAUCAACCGAGAUUGCGCAAGUAGUGGCGAGCGAACGCGCAGGAGCCAGUAUAUGAUAGUCACUGAGAUAGAAGAACAAGCUGGGAAGCUUGGCCGUAGAGGGUGAUAGCCCCGUAUUCGAAAUUUCAGAGGCGGUACUAAGUAUACGA
rnacentral:rRNA from 1 species